AGCGAACGCUGGCGGCGUGCCUAAUGCAUGCAAGCCGAACGGCCUGAUUUAUCAGGCAGUGGCGGACGGGUGAGUAACGCGUAAGAACUUACCCUAAAGUGGGGGACAACCUCGAGAAAUCGGGGCUAAUACCGCAUACGCUCCGCAAGGAGGAAAGCUACGGCGCUUUAGGAUGGGCUUGCGUCCGAUUAGCUAGUUGGUGAGGUAAUGGCUCACCAAGGCUUAGAUCGGUAGCUGGUCUGAGAGGAUGACCAGCCACACUGGCACUGAAACACGGGCCAGACUCCUACGGGAGGCUG
rnacentral:rRNA from 1 species